AGUCGAGGGGUAUUGUUCUUCGGAAUGAGAGACCGGCGCACGGGUGCGUAACGCGUAUGCAAUCUACCUUUCACAGAGGAAUAGCCCAGAGAAAUUUGGAUUAAUGCCCCAUAGUAUAUUCGAAUGGCAUCAUUUGAUUAUUAAAGUUCCAACGGUAAAAGAUGAGCAUGCGUCCCAUUAGUUAGUUGGUAAGGUAACGGCUUACCAAGACGAUGAUGGGUAGGGGUCCUGAGAGGGAGAUCCCCCACACUGGUACUGAGACACGGACCAGACUCCUACGGGAGGCAGCAGUGAGGAAUAUUGGACAAUGGGCGCAAGCCUGAUCCAGCCAUGCCGCGUGCAGGAAGAAGCAUCUAUGGUGUGUAAACUGCUUUUAUACAGGAAGAAACACUCCCUCGUGAGGGAGCUUGACGGUACUGUAAGAAUAAGGACCGGCUAACUCCGUGCCAGCAGCCGCGGUAAUACGGAGGGUCCGAGCGUUAUCCGGAAUCAUUGGGUUUAAAGGGUCCGUAGGCGGUUUAAUAAGUCAGUGGUGAAAUCUGGUCGCUCAACGAUCAAACGGCCAUUGAUACUGUUAGACUUGAAUUACUGGGAAGUAACUAGAAUAUGUAGUGUAGCGGUGAAAUGCUUAGAUAUUACAUGGAAUACCAAUUGCGAAGGCAGGUUACUACCAGUGGAUUGACGCUGAUGGACGAAAGCGU
rnacentral:rRNA from 1 species